AAAUUGAAGAGUUUGAUCAUGGCUCAGAUUGAACGCUGGCGGCAGGCCUAACACAUGCAAGUCGAACGGUAACAGGAAGCAGCUUGCUGCUUCGCUGACGAGUGGCGGACGGGUGAGUAAUGUCUGGGAAACUGCCUGAUGGAGGGGGAUAACUACUGGAAACGGUGGCUAAUACCGCAUAACGUCGCAGGACCAAAGAGGGGGACCUUCGGGCCUCUUGCCAUCAGAUGUGCCCAGAUGGGAUUAGCUUGUUGGUGAGGUAACGGCUCACCAAGGCGACGAUCCCUAGCUGGUCUGAGAGGAUGACCAGCCACACUGGAACUGAGACACGGUCCAGACUCCUACGGGAGGCAGCAGUGGGGAAUAUUGCACAAUGGGCGCAAGCCUGAUGCAGCCAUGCCGCGUGU
rnacentral:rRNA from 1 species